GCACAAUCAGGGCUGCCUUAUAGGGUUCUGGUGGGAGCACAAUCAGGGCUGCCUUAUAGGGAUCUGGUGGGAGCACAAUCAGGGCUGCCUUAUAGGGAUCUGGUGGGCGGGGAGGGGGGGUUUUCUCAGGUCGUGCAGUGCACCUGUGCUGCUCACGCAGUCUUUCUGCACACCACUCGGGAUCACAGCGCCCUGCAGUCUGCUCACGGCCCGUCCCCACCGCCACCUUCAACUGCUGCGCCUGCACGUGGCUCUCGUAGCUACAGUAUUGGCUGAAGUCUUGCCGUUGGCAGUAGGAACUCUGGUGUGAAGGGCCGGAUACAAGCCGUCAGCACGCAGUCCGGGAGCAAGCACAGAUGGACUAAGUACAAAGGAAUAAAAGAUUUCUGAUUGUGACUACACUUUGGGAACCACUGACAUCCAGGCUGGAGAGAGAAAGGCCCUGGUAUUGAGGAUCAAGUGAUUGUACCUGUGAGGAGAGUGGGUUGCAGAGACUGGAAACCAUGCAGGGCUUGAUGACAUGGUCUACCUUUCUGAGUUUUCCUGACUAUCAAUCCAUCUACCGGCCAACUUCUUCUUGAGCCAGACAACCUCACCUCCUACAAAAGAGAUUACAGCAUCAUUAGUUAUAAUGAGAUUUUAUAUUAAUAAGGAUUUAUUGCUACCUAUAAAAUACAUACUCUGAUGGUAUGCUACCAAGCAGUCUGUCCUAAAUGAGAGGAACCCAACGUUGUCUGACAGAAUAAAUGGAUGAAAUACACUGUGUAAUGCACUAUGUUUCAUUUUUAUGUUGUGUGUUGACAUUCUCAUUUUCUGAAUUCAACAGCAUGUCAUUAGUGUGGUUUCUGAGUAAUUUUCAUGAUGUAACAAGAGUGUAACAUUUUCUGAAACCACUGGAUUAAUUAAUCCAGAUUUAUCUUCUCAGCAUCCCUGGUAAGUAAAGAGCUGUAUCAGUUCUACUGCUAGGACCCUCUGACUUAGAAGGAGAAAGAGGAGUUUGUGAUUCAGCGUAUGCUGGUACUUAGGGACUGGGGACUGCUGGACUAUUUCUUCUACAGUCAGUUUCCUUUGUUUACUUUUAAUUUUUUUGUCAUUGUAUUAAUACUUUGACUCCAGUGUACAAAUUAGUGUGAUUCAGUAAUGCAAACAUAACUGGCAGUGCAUAUUCCCCACCAACCUGCUACAGUUUCUUAAUUCCUACUAUGUUGGACAUUCUCUUAGGUUAUCUUAGGUAAUGGAGGUUUAAUGUAAGGAUGAGUAAUGAGGAAAUAAAGUUUGUUUUCUAUGUA